UCACACCACCUUCACCUUUUUUUUUCAAAAAUCCAUCAAAAGCUCACAACACCCUCUACACCUCAAAAGAAGAGGAAGAAGAAGUGCAAGAGGAAAAAGAAACAAUAACAACACGUGAA
rnacentral:ribozyme from 1 species